UCGAACGAGCGAGAGAGAGCUUGCUUUCUCGAGCGAGCGGCGAACGGGUGCGUAUACGCGUGAGGAACCUGCCUCAAAGAGGGGGACAACAGUUGGAAACGACUGCUAAUACCGCAUAAGCCCACGACCCGGCAUCGGGUAGAGGGAAAAGGAGCAAUCCGCUUUGAGAUGGCCUCGCGUCCGAUUAGCUAGUUGGUGAGGUAAUGGCCCACCAAGGCGACGAUCGGUAGCCGGACUGAGAGGUUGAACGGCCACAUUGGGACUGAGACACGGCCCAGACUCCUACGGGAGGCAGCAGUGGGGAAUAUUGCACAAUGGGGGAAACCCUGAUGCAGCGACGCCGCGUGGAGGAAGAAGGUCUUCGGAUUGUAAACUCCUGUUGUUGAGGAAGAUAAUGACGGUACUCAACAAGGAAGUGACGGCUAACUACGUGCCAGCAGCCGCGGUAAAACGUAGGUCACAAGCGUUGUCCGGAAUUACUGGGUGUAAAGGGAGCGCAGGCGGGAAGGCAAGUUGGAAGUGAAAUCCAUGGGCUCAACCCAUGAACUGCUUUCAAAACUGUUUUUCUUGAGUAGUGCAGAGGUAGGCGGAAUUCCCGGUGUAGCGGUGGAAUGCGUAGAUAUCGGGAGGAACACCAGUGGCGAAGGCGGCCUACUGGGCACCAACUGACGCUGAGGCUCGAAAGUGUGGGUAGCAAACAGGAUUAGAUACCCUGGUAGUCCACACUGUAAACGAUGAUUACUAGGUGUUGGAGGAUUGACCCCUUCAGUGCCGC
rnacentral:rRNA from 1 species